rnacentral:rRNA from 1 species
CNNNANAUGCAAGUCNAGCGNNNAGAAGGGAGCUUGCUCCCNGAUGUUAGCGGCGGACGGGUGAGUAACACGUGGGUAACCUGCCUGUAAGACUGGGAUAACUCCGGGAAACCGGAGCUAAUACCGGAUAGUUCCUUGAACCGCAUGGUUCAAGGAUGAAAGACGGUUUCGGCUGUCACUUACAGAUGGACCCGCGGCGCAUUAGCUAGUUGGUGGGGUAAUGGCUCACCAAGGCGACGAUGCGUAGCCGACCUGAGAGGGUGAUCGGCCACACUGGGACUGAGACACGGCCCAGACUCCUACGGGAGGCAGCAGUAGGGAAUCUUCCGCAAUGGACGAAAGUCUGACGGAGCAACGCCGCGUGAGUGAUGAAGGUUUUCGGAUCGUAAAGCUCUGUUGUUAGGGAAGAACAAGUGCGAGAGUAACUGCUCGCACCUUGACGGUACCUAACCAGAAAGCCACGGCUAACUACGUGCCAGCAGCCGCGGUAAUACGUAGGUGGCAAGCGUUGUCCGGAAUUAUUGGGCGUAAAGGGCUCGCAGGCGGUUUCUUAAGUCUGAUGUGAAAGCCCCCGGCUCAACCGGGGAGGGUCAUUGGAAACUGGGAAACUUGAGUGCAGAAGAGGAGAGUGNAAUUCCACGUGUAGCGGUGAAAUGCGUAGAGAUGUGGAGGAACACCAGUGGCGAAGGCGACUCUCUGGUCUGUAACUGACGCUGAGGAGCGAAAGCGUGGGGAGCGAACNNGAUUAGAUACCCUGGUAGUCCACGCCGUANACGAUGAGNGCNANGUGUUAGGGGNUUUCCNCCCCUUANUGCUGCAGCNNNNNCAUUANNC